AUUUUAAUUCUGUUUUUACUAUAAAUAGUAAGUUUUAAUUUGAUUAUAACUCUUUAUCCAUUUGGCUUUAAAAGUUGUGCCUAAUGUGAAAAGUGCUUAGAAUAAUUAGGAGAACAGUGUGGUGAACCUAAAUAGGACACAUACUAUUUUUGGCUGAAAACCUUGCACACUAGUAGACAUAAGGACCGUCUACUUACUAUUUAUAGUAAGUUGCGAAUUCUAGGAGUUUUAAUUGUAGUUUAAUUCUGGAAUUUCUUUUAUUGCUUAGUAUCCCUAUUUAAAGGGUUGUGAACUCGUUUAUUGGAUUCAUUGAUCAAUCUUGAAUUUUAUAGAAUUUAUUUUCUAUUUUAUUGUUCUUUUCCUCAUGGAUUUGAGGAGUUUAAAAAAGUUCCUUGGAUUUGGAAUAGUUAUACCUUUGAGGAAGACGAUGCUCAACUUCACAUCCUUCCCUGCGUCACUACCACUAAGUCAUGAAUUGUGGAAGCUGCACGUUGAAUUCUAAUCUCGAAGGCUUUAGAACCUGAGCCCUCCUUCCACCAACAAAUCCAUCUCACCAUUAGGCAUUCUUGCCAAACAUAGCAUCAAGCCUUGUGUCACCCCAUUUGCACACGAGCCACAUCCACUAGUGCAGGGAGACAGUUGCAUUGCCUUGGCAUGUAAGCAUUGACACAUGUAUCAUUCUAUUAUAAGAUAAUUAACUGACAUUCACCUGCCCCUGUUUAGUAGUUUACUACAGUUGAACUAUUUCAAUUAUCUGAUCGGUUUGAUGCCGCUGGAUGAAUUAAUCUUUUGCGCUGCUUAUUGUUUUUGUAACUUAUUAUCCAGUUGUAAUUUUGGAAUGACAAUAAUCUACAAUCCAUGCCUACUUCUUUGACUGUUGAAGUAUUUUCAUACUAUAUUUCGCUGAUAAUAUGGUGCGGUGAAUUCUACGAAAAUAGAUCAAACCGCUAUGGAGGCACUAUUUCCAAAACGCACAGGGACUCAUUUUUUUUGUUGACAGUAAUGACAGAGACCGUGUAGUUGAGGCGAGGGAUGAACUCCAUAGGAUGCUGAAUGAGGAUGAUUAUGCGGCGCCUAAUAACGAUGAAUAUGAAGAAAGAAAGUAUAUUGUUUUCUUUAUAGAAACGUAAGUUAGAGUCUUUUUAUAUUGG